rnacentral:rRNA from 1 species
CCUACGGGUGGCAGCAGUGGGGAAUAUUGCGCAAUGGGCGAAAGCCUGACGCAGCGACGCCGCGUGAGGGAUGAAGGUCUUCGGAUCGUAAACCUCGGUCAGCAGGGAAGAACGGUCACGGUGCUAAGCAGCAGUGAAUGGACGGUACCUGCAAAGGAAGCACCGGCUAACUCCGUGCCAGCAGCCGCGGUAAUACGGAGGGUGCGAGCGUUAAUCGGAAGUACUGGGCGUAAAGCGCUCGUAGGCGGUAUGUCAAGUCAAGGGUGAAAUCCCCGUGCUCAACGUUGGAACUGCCUUUGAAACUGGCAAACUGGAGUGUGUGUGAGGAUAGUGGCAUUCCAGGUGU